AACGCACCUUGCGCCUUUUGGUAUUCCGAAAGGCAUGCCUGUUUGAGUGUCAUGAAAUUUUCAACCCCCGGGUUUCCGGGGGCUUGGACUUGGGCGUUGCCGACCGGCUCGCCUCAAAUGUGUUAGCGGGAGCUGGCUGUUGCCUGACGUAUUAAGUUUCGUCUCGCGCCCCCCUCCGACCGCUCAUAACCCCCACCUUUAUGCUCUGACCUCAAAUCAGGUAGGACUACCCGCUGAACUUAA
rnacentral:misc_RNA from 1 species